UGAUAAUGUGACUCUAAAAAGCAAACGAUGUUCAGCUCUGUUUAUUCGAAUUCCUAAUUUCAUAUGAUUUCUUAAUCUUCUUGAAUAAAGUGUUGCAAGCUAAACUUCACUGACUAAUUGCUAGUGCUCCAAAACUUGAUGGUAUAAAAAUAUAUUUUAUAUUAUUUUAGAGUAAAGUAAAAUAUCCAAUCUCAUAAUCAACUAUAUUCAUGUUCACAUAUCUAAACUCUAGUAUUUACUUUCUAAAUCCAUUCAGUUAUAUAGCCAAUGACAGUGGCCACACUUAACCCC
rnacentral:lncRNA from 1 species